rnacentral:rRNA from 1 species
CUCGUAGGCGGUUCGUCGCGUCCGGUGUGAAAGUCCAUCGCUUAACGGUGGAUCCGCGCCGGGUACGGGCGGGCUUGAGUGCGGUAGGGGAGACUGGAAUUCCCGGUGUAACGGUGGAAUGUGUAGAUAUCGAGAAGAACACCAAUGGCGAAGGCAGGUCUCUGGGCCGUUACUGACGCUGAGGAGCGAAAGCGUGGGGAGCGAACA